rnacentral:pre_miRNA from 1 species
UCAAUUCCGUAGUGCAUUGCAGUUUGUUGUUGCAAUUACUGCAAGCAUUGUGGAAGUGAUA